rnacentral:tRNA from 1 species
GCCUCAGUAGCUCAGUGGAUAGAGCACUUCUCUCCUAAAGAAGGUGUCGUAGGUUCGAUUCCUAUCUGGGGCACCA